rnacentral:snRNA from 1 species
AACUUGCACUUGCUUUUUAUACUAAAAUUGGAAUGAUACAGAGAAAAUUAGCAUGAUCCCUAUGUAAGGAUGACACACAUAUUUGUAAAACAUGCUGUAUUUUA